rnacentral:rRNA from 1 species
UACGGAGGGUGCGAGCGUUGUCCGGAAUCACUGGGCGUAAAGGGCGCGUAGGUGGCGCGACAAGUCAACGGUGAAAGCUCGGCGCUCAACGCCGAGUCGGCCGUCGAUACUGUUGGGCUUGAGCACUGUAGAGGCUAAUGGAAUUCCGGGUGUAGCGGUGGAAUACGUAGAGAUCCGGAAGAACACCGGUGGCGAAGGCGGUUAGCUGGGCAGUUGCUGACACUGAGCGCGACAGCGUGGGGAGCAAACAGGG